CCAAUGCCUAAAUCCUUGCGGGUCCCAUUCGUGGGAACUUGGCAAGGUAGUACCUAGGUACUCUGCCUGGUGUGCAACUGAUUGCAGUUGGUGGGAGCCCACACGUAUGGGUGAUUCCAGUGGGUAACCACCACACUUGUCCAAUCUUAUGCUUCUAGUGAGCUUGACCCUGGCCUAGCGAUAGGACAGACCCAUGGGUAUAUA
rnacentral:misc_RNA from 1 species